GUGGGGAAUUUUGGACAAUGGGCGCAAGCCUGAUCCAGCAAUGCCGCGUGGGUGAAGAAGGUCUUCGGAUCGUAAAGCCCUUUCGACAGGGACGAUGAUGACGGUACCUGUAGAAGAAGCCCCGGCUAACUUCGUGCCAGCAGCCGCGGUAAUACGAAGGGGGCUAGCGUUACUCGGAAUUACUGGGCGUAAAGGGCGCGUAGGCGGCUCUGUUAGUCAGGCGUGAAAUUCCUGGGCUUAACCUGGGGACUGCGCUUGAUACUGCAGGGCUUGAGGCCGAGAGAGGGUGGUGGAAUGCCCAGUGUAGAGGUGAAAUUCGUAGAUAUUGGGAAGAACACCGGUGGCGAAGGCGACCACCUGGCUCGGUUCUGACGCUGAGGCGCGACAGCGUGGGGAGCAAACAGGAUUAGAUACCCGUGUAGUCC
rnacentral:rRNA from 1 species